GGGCUUGUGGCUCAGUUGGUAGAGCGUUCGCUUAGCAUCAUCUCGAGAUGCGAAAGGUCCUGGGUUCGAUUCCCAGCAAGUCCA